UUUUAUAAUGCUUAUUACGAAAGUCACUUCAUGCAAAGAGUUGUUUUAUGUAGGAUGCUCCCUUGAAAUCUUUCUUACUUUUCAAAAAAAAAUGUAUUAAAUGACCAUUGUAGCCUAAUUGUUAGUUUACAAUCUCUACACCUUGAGAUCAGACAGCAUGAGAGCAGAUAUAAUUAACAACUGCAAAAUACUGAUUGGCUGUUUCGUAGUAGAUUUUUUGAUAUCUGGUGCAGGUAGACUUUCUUCGAUUUAUUUUGUGGAAUCCGUAACACGUUAUGAUGUGGACAGAGCUCAAGCAUCUUUUCCUUUCGUCCUGACUUACGCAGUGAAAAACUUUUCAGGGCCAUUGAUUGGAUAUGCUGAGCAAAUAUUAGGCACUAAAUGGAUCAUUACCAUUGGAAGUAUUAUGGCCACUUUAGGCAUAGGAGGAUGUUUCUUUGCUGAAGAUAUAUUGGUUAUCACACUUUUGUGGGGAGUGGUACUAGGUAAGAUAAUUGAAAAAACUAUUAAUGCAUCAACAUUUAUCGGGUGUUCAAUAAAAGAUCGAUGAAUUG